rnacentral:lncRNA from 7 species
AGCUAAAUUCUGGUAACGGUACUCACUCCGGUCCUUUUUCCUGGUUCUUUUUUCUCGGUCGUUCUGCCAUUGUUUCUAAAGAUUCAAAUGGAAAUCGCCGUUGCUUUUGAAAUGACUUUUGGACGUCCUUGUCCCUUGCAUUUAUGGCUAGCGCGGCUGCUCGGUUCUUUCAUCAAUAAAAGGCUUCGUUCUUCGAGACCCAGCGCGUCUAACUCGUACCACAUCUGCACCUCUCGACCGCAGAACGUCGCCCCUGAUCUCGCCGAGCGCCGAGCCAUGGAUUCCUCACCUAACUAGAGCAAGCCGCGUGCUGCCGCGAUGUUAACAUAUUCAAGUCAAACAAGUGGUUGACAUGUUCUUCAUUGCCAAGUCCUUAGUUCAGAUCUAAACCUAUUGAAAAAUUGAAGAGAAUGUCCAUCUAACACAAAUUACUUAGCUAAGCAACCUUUUACAAAAAGACUAAAAAAUUGGAGAGGACAUCACAGAUCACUUACCCUAAGCAUUAUUCUUCAACCGGUGGUACCAUAUUCAAGUCAAGGAAAUGUAUAUCAUCCAUUGUUUGCUCAGCAACUGAAAGAACAGACGUUUGUAGUACUCACUGGACCGAGCAGGCGGUACAGAAAUGACUGCGUACUCCUCUCACUAGAACCAUCUAUAAAUAGACGA